rnacentral:tRNA from 1 species
GGGGGAGGGCUGGAUGUGGCAUCGCGGAGGAGCCGAGCGGGUUUUGAAAACCGCCGUACCCGGAAGGGUACCAGGGGUUCGAAUCCCUUCUCCUCCG